AUUGAACGCUGGCGGCAGGCCUAACACAUGCAAGUCGAGCGGAUGAAGCGAGCUUGCUCCUGGAUUCAGCGGGGGACGCGUGAGUAUUGCCUAGGAAUCUCCCUGGUUUUGCUGUAUAACGUCCUCAAACGGGCGCUACUACCGCCUACGUCCUGCGCGUGCAAGUUGGUGAUCUUCGGACCUCUCGCUCUCAUAUGAGCCUAGGUCGGAUUAGCUAGUUUGUGGGGUAAGGGCCUACUAAGCCGACGAUCCGUAACUGGUCUGCGAGGAUGAUAGGUCACACUGGAAGUGAGACAGGGUCAAGACUCCUAAGGGAGGCAGCAGUGGGGAAUAUUGGACAGUGGGCGAAAGCAUGAUCCAGCCAGGCGGCGUGUGUGAAGAAGGUCUUCGGAGUGUAAAGAACGUUAAGUGGGGGGGAAGGGCAGUAAGUUAAGACCUUGCUGGUUUGACGUUACCAACAGAAUAAGCACCGGCUAACUACGUG
rnacentral:rRNA from 1 species